CACAAUAGACACUGACGAGGUUUGGUGUCGCAUUUGGACCAUCGGUAAAUUUUGAACUUCCGAAAAACUUUAAGAAUAAAUUGUGUGUCCAAGUUACCGUGUCACAGUUAGAGCAUUAAAACGACCAAAUUUCUAAAAAUGAGUUUUCCUUAAAGGUUCAAUCUUCUAUUUUAAAUAAACUGAAAAAUUACUCUAAAACAGCUAGAUUCACCCUAAUUACUCGUGCGAAAAACUAGGAUUGUUGGAGUGCAGUAAGUACGCAGAAACAGUCCGAAGAAAAAGCUCUGAGACGACAUUAUUCCGCGAGAAAACUGUGCUUACUGCUGCAUUGUGCAAAACGGCACUCUAUUCUGACAGCGUUUGCAUGCCCUUAUUUUGUUUAAAACUUAAUGAAGCAAGUAUACAAAAGAUUCCUUUUUAUGCCUAUGUGCGGUAAAUAUGCCCCUCUUUACUAUCAAAGAGACUGAUAAUUAUUACACAUGCAUAAAUUCGCUCCAAGGACGCACUUUAGCACUCUGCGACACCCAAACGCCACAUGUGCCUAUCUUUUCAAAAGUUAUCGGGCAUAAUUGACAAGGCAACAUCUUAUUGUCAACUCCCUGCCACCAUCUCUUCGUAGAACCUUUUCUCAUCACCUUUUUCCAGGUAUUUUAUGAAUAUUAAUUGUUCCUUGUAAUUAUUCGUAUGAUUUUUUUAGAAUGAGCGAAAGAAUUCACCCAAAAGUUUAAUGGAAACUGUUGAUUAGUUUACUUUUAAAAAUAAAACACGAGCGGGGACUAGCAACGUCACAAUGUAAGACAUGCAUUUAUAACUUUGGUCAUUGAUCUCUACAGAUAGAUAAGUAUCAUCUAAAGUAUUGAGGGUAUUGUCAGUAUUGAACACCAGCCACGACGUGCAUUUUUCGAAUAAUAAACACAAGCUCUUUUCCUGCCAAUAUGAUGCAAAUUUAAUUCCAUGCACAGUUUUGUAAGCAUGCACCAGGCAGGGUCCCUCGCACGAUAUUGGCAGUGGGAUUCUGACCCGGAUAUCAAUGCUGUCUGGUUGUCGAGUAAAAUAUGAAAAAAGAGCGAUUUUAAACACAGAUGCAUGCCAAUAAAGUGCAUUUGUACUGGCAACCGUGAAUGUCUUGCACGACAACAAUACUGUGGCGAGUAUCAUCCAAUUUCCUCCUUCAAUCGUUGAGGGUAUCACAAGAAACCGCCGCGCUGCCUUCAGUCGUUCAAUAAUGAGAG
rnacentral:lncRNA from 1 species